rnacentral:miRNA from 1 species
GUUGUGCUGGAGGCCUCUGGCG